rnacentral:rRNA from 1 species
UACGAAGGGGGCUAGCGUUGUUCGGAAUUACUGGCGUAAAGCGCGCGCAGGCGGUCUUCCAAGUCAGUGGUGAAAGCCUGGAGCUCAACUCCAGAACUGCCAUUGAAACUGUUAGACUUGAGUACGAGAGAGGUGAGUGGAAUUCCCAGUGUAGAGGUGAAAUUCGUAGAUAUUAGGAAGAACACCAGUGGCGAAGGCGGCUCACUGGCCCGGUACUGACGCUGAGGAGCGAAAGCGUGGGGAGCAAACAGG